rnacentral:rRNA from 1 species
UUAAGCGACUAAGCGUACACGGUGGAUGCCCUGGCAGUCAGAGGCGAUGAAGGACGUGCUAAUCUGCGAAAAGCGUCGGUAAGGUGAUAUGAACCGUUAUAACCGGCGAUGUCCGAAUGGGGAAACCCAGUGUGAUUCGUCACACUAUCGUUAACUGAAUACAUAGGUUAACGAGGCGAACCGGGGAACUGAAACAUCUAAGUACCCCGAGGAAAAGAAAUCAACCGAGAUUCCCCCAGUAGCGGCGAGCGAACGGGGAGCAGCCCAGAGUCUGAAUCAGCUUGUGUGUUAGUGGAACGGUCUGGAAAGUCCGACGGUACAGGGUGAUAGUCCCGUACACCAAAAUGCACAGGUUGUGAACUCGAAGAGUAGGGCGGGACACGUGGUAUCCUGUCUGAAUAUGGGGGGACCAUCCUCCAAGGCUAAAUACUCCUGACUGACCGAUAGUGAACCAGUACCGUGAGGGAAAGGCGAAAAGAACCCCGGCGAGGGGAGUGAAAAAGAACCUGAAACCGUGUACGUACAAGCAGUGGGAGCACCUUCGGGUGUGACUGCGUACCUUUUGUAUAAUGGGUCAGCGACUUAUAUUCUGUAGCAAGGUUAACCGUAUAGGGGAGCCGCAGGGAAACCGAGUCUUAACUGGGCGUUAAGUUGCAGGGUAUAGACCCGAAACCCGGUGAUCUAGCCAUGGGCAGGUUGAAGGUUGGGUAACACUAACUGGAGGACCGAACCGACUAAUGUUGAAAAAUUAGCGGAUGACUUGUGGCUGGGGGUGAAAGGCCAAUCAAACCGGGAGAUAGCUGGUUCUCCCCGAAAGCUAUUUAGGUAGCGCCUCGUGAAUUCAUCUUCGGGGGUAGAGCACUGUUUCGGCUAGGGGGUCAUCCCGACUUACCAACCCGAUGCAAACUACGAAUACCGAAGAAUGUUAUCACGGGAGACACACGGCGGGUGCUAACGUCCGUCGUGAAGAGGGAAACAACCCAGACCGCCAGCUAAGGUCCCAAAGUCAUGGUUAAGUGGGAAACGAUGUGGGAAGGCACAGACAGCCAGGAUGUUGGCUUAGAAGCAGCCAUCAUUUAAAGAAAGCGUAAUAGCUCACUGGUCGAGUCGGCCUGCGCGGAAGAUGUAACGGGGCUAAACCAUGCACCGAAGCUGCGGCAGCGACACUAUGUGUUGUUGGGUAGGGGAGCGUUCUGUAAGCCUGCGAAGGUGGCCUGUGAGGGUUGCUGGAGGUAUCAGAAGUGCGAAUGCUGACAUAAGUAACGAUAAAGCGGGUGAAAAGCCCGCUCGCCGGAAGACCAAGGGUUCCUGUCCAACGUUAAUCGGGGCAGGGUGAGUCGACCCCUAAGGCGAGGCCGAAAGGCGUAGUCGAUGGGAAACAGGUUAAUAUUCCUGUACUUGGUGUUACUGCGAAGGGGGGACGGAGAAGGCUAUGUUAGCCGGGCGACGGUUGUCCCGGUUUAAGCAUGUAGGCUGGUUAUCCAGGCAAAUCCGGAUAAUCAAGGCUGAGGUGUGAUGACGAGGCACUACGGUGCUGAAGUAACAAAUGCCCUGCUUCCAGGAAAAGCCUCUAAGCAUCAGGUAACAUUAAAUCGUACCCCAAACCGACACAGGUGGUCAGGUAGAGAAUACCAAGGCGCUUGAGAGAACUCGGGUGAAGGAACUAGGCAAAAUGGUGCCGUAACUUCGGGAGAAGGCACGCUGGUGUGUAGGUGAAGUCCCUGCGGAUGGAGCUGAGACCAGUCGAAGAUACCAGCUGGCUGCAACUGUUUAUUAAAAACACAGCACUGUGCAAACACGAAAGUGGACGUAUACGGUGUGACGCCUGCCCGGUGCCGGAAGGUUAAUUGAUGGGGUUAUCCGUAAGGAGAAGCUCUUGAUCGAAGCCCCGGUAAACGGCGGCCGUAACUAUAACGGUCCUAAGGUAGCGAAAUUCCUUGUCGGGUAAGUUCCGACCUGCACGAAUGGCGUAAUGAUGGCCAGGCUGUCUCCACCCGAGACUCAGUGAAAUUGAACUCGCUGUGAAGAUGCAGUGUACCCGCGGCAAGACGGAAAGACCCCGUGAACCUUUACUAUAGCUUGACACUGAACAUUGAGCCUUGAUGUGUAGGAUAGGUGGGAGGCUUUGAAGCGUGGACGCCAGUCUGCGUGGAGCCAACCUUGAAAUACCACCCUUUAAUGUUUGAUGUUCUAACGUUGGCCCCUGACCGGGGUUGCGGACAGUGUCUGGUGGGUAGUUUGACUGGGGCGGUCUCCUCCCAAAGCGUAACGGAGGAGCACGAAGGUUAGCUAAUCCUGGUCGGACAUCAGGAGGUUAGUGCAAUGGCAUAAGCUAGCUUGACUGCGAGCGUGACGGCGCGAGCAGGUGCGAAAGCAGGUCAUAGUGAUCCGGUGGUUCUGAAUGGAAGGGCCAUCGCUCAACGGAUAAAAGGUACUCCGGGGAUAACAGGCUGAUACCGCCCAAGAGUUCAUAUCGACGGCGGUGUUUGGCACCUCGAUGUCGGCUCAUCACAUCCUGGGGCUGAAGUAGGUCCCAAGGGUAUGGCUGUUCGCCAUUUAAAGUGGUACGCGAGCUGGGUUUAGAACGUCGUGAGACAGUUCGGUCCCUAUCUGCCGUGGGCGCUGGAGAAUUGAGGGGGGCUGCUCCUAGUACGAGAGGACCGGAGUGGACGCAUCACUGGUGUUCGGGUUGUCAUGCCAAUGGCACUGCCCGGUAGCUAAAUGCGGAAGAGAUAAGUGCUGAAAGCAUCUAAGCACGAAACUUGCCCCGAGAUGAGUUCUCCCUGAGACUUUAAGUCUCCUGAAGGAACGUUAAAGACGAUGACGUUGAUAGGCCGGGUGUGUAAGCGCAGCGAUGCGUUGAGCUAACCGGUACUAAUGAACCGUGAGGCUUAACCUU